GUCUACGGCCAUGCCACCCUGAACAAGCCCGAUCUCGGCUGAUCUUGGAAGCUAAGCAGGGUUGGGCCUGGUUAGUACUUGGAUGGGAGACCACCUAGGAAGACCAGGUACUGUAGGCG
rnacentral:rRNA from 1 species